rnacentral:rRNA from 1 species
GAUGAACGCUGGCGGCGUGCCUAAUACAUGCAAGUCGAGCGAACAGAUGAGGGGCUUGCUCCUCUGACGUUAGCGGCGGACGGGUGAGUAACACGUGGAUAACCUACCUAUAAGACUGGGAUAACUUCGGGAAACCGGAGCUAAUACCGGAUAAUAUAUUGAACCGCAUGGUUCAAUAGUGAAAGACGGUUUUGCUGUCACUUAUAGAUGGAUCCGCGCCGCAUUAGCUAGUUGGUAAGGUAACGGCUUACCAAGGCAACGAUGCGUAGCCGACCUGAGAGGGUGAUCGGCCACACUGGAACUGAGACACGGUCCAGACUCCUACGGGAGGCAGCAGUAGGGAAUCUUCCGCAAUGGGCGAAAGCCUGACGGAGCAGCGCCGCGUGAGUGAUGAAGGUCUUCGGAUCGUAAAACUCUGUUAUUAGGGAAGAACAAAUGUGUAAGUAACUAUGCACGUCUUGACGGUACCUAAUCAGAAAGCCACGGCUAACUACGUG